UUAAAAAAAAUACGAUUUUCUUUUUAUUUAACUGUUUUUUAGAUUGUUAAUACAUUACGUUAUUAAAAUUGCAUUAAAACUUGAAAAUAUGGGAAAUUAAUUUGAUAAAAUAGACAAGUUGAAUGAUGUUAAAAAGUUUUGACAGAGUGAAGUUGUAGAUUUUCCCGACGCCCAUCGCACUUUAAUGCCUGAUGUAAUAUGUGUAAUGGACUUUCGUUUAUAAUGGAAAAGAGAACGAGAGCAAAAAGCAAAAAGGGCGUCACGAUCGCGCGCUUUCCCCCAAAAAAAAACUAUGCCCUUAAAAAAAGCACAAAAAAAUGCGUCAGUUAUCCGUUGUAUUCGACUCGUUCGGAUUGCGUUUCCCGUUUAGAAUUUGCUCAACCAGAACGGAUUUGCGACGUACAAUUUAACGGUAUUGGUAUUUUAGAUUUGACAUCUUAUAAUUUGACGUUUUGAAAUUUGACGUUUCAAAAUUUGACGUUUCAACAAUUUAAUCAUAAAAUUCAAAUAAAAUUUAUGGGAUUUACAUAGUUUAAAUUGGAAUUUAGAAAAGUUAUAAAUAUAACAGUUAUAAAUUUUGAUUAGAGAAGUUUUGAGUUUAAAAUAUUCUGGUGGUGCGAAUGAGCAACAAAGGGUUGGUGGGUUUGUAGGAUGGGAGAUAUAAUAAAACCGGUAAAUCGUCAUUAAACCAAAUUUAAUUAAUGAAGUCGAUAUGAGGUGGUAUUCCCGUCGCGCCGGUCGUAAAUAUUUUAGCGCAGCCCGCACGGUCAUCUGGUCCCGCGGGUGAUCCUGCAGGAUACUCGGCUGGCCCCGGGACUACGGACCGUGAUCAACAAUUUAUGAACAGGCCGUGGAACCCAUGUCUCUGUUUCUGCCAAUUUAUUCGACAUAAAAUGUCCAAAAAAAGAAAUAAAAAUAUUAAAAAAACACCUCUACAUAUGUAUGUAUAAAUACACCAUACACGCGAUAAUAAUUUCAUGAAAAACUUUAAAUGAAGAUUUAUGGAAUUGCGUACAUAUUGGUAGAUAAAUUAUGAUUAUUUUUUCCAUGGAAAAUACAUAAUUAAUGUUAUGAAUUGUCAAUAGCAUGGAACAAUUUCCGAGUCGCUGAGCGAACGAGGACAAUUUAUAUUAAAAUGAUGAUAUAUUUUAUUCAUAACAAUAUUAUUGCUAACAAGUAUAUAUUGAUUAACCACACAUAUUCCAUUAUGUAUAUUUAUACAAAUUCUAACGGUUAUUACUAUCUACAAACAUUGUACCUAACAUAAUGCAUUUCGCCCCAUCAGAUUGACAUCCACUGAAUCGCCACCAGUACGCUUAUCAAACGGGAAAGUCAACAGAAUUGGCUCUGCACAGUUUGGAUGCUCCAGGAUAAAGAGGUGUUAAACAACGCAAUACCACAAUCUCUUGAAAGAGCUGCUCUUGACAGGGGAAUCCAAGAUCCGUAAUAUGUUUGAUACGAACUUAAAAAUUUAUUUCUCAACGUUUAAAUAUGUUGUGUCAAUUUUAAAUGUUUAAUAAUCGCUUCCACGUAAAAGUUAAACCGAUGGAAGUAAAAAGUUGUAAAUAAUUUUCUGUUUGUCCAUCACUUUGUUGCGAGGUCCAACCCGUCUGGUUAAAACUGGGGGGGAUGAGGUAAAACUAGACGAUGCCGGAGCUUGCAAAGCUCGUAAAAUCGCUGCCCCGGUGCUCUCUUAUUUGUUUUAUUCAAAAAGCGGCCGGUCCGACACGCUCGGCUGUUCCGUCCACGAUAAACUAUUGAUACUUGGACUUUGUGACGGCCUUUCGCUCGCAUAAUCGAAUUGCGGCCUCUAGAGCGGACUUCCGGUCCAACAGCUGCCCAACAACUGACGCGUAAGGACGCGAAUUUAUUGUAUUCGACCUUUUCUAGAAAUGAAUUUUCUAAGGGAGUUGAAAAGAAAUGUUUCUAAGAUUUUUUUUUUGAUAAAAAAAACAAGAUUAUUUAAGAUUCAGGGAUUUGGCUAACAAUGAAACCAAAAAAUAAAAACCCAAGUUCAAUAAAAGGAGAGUUUUCCAAAGAGUUGUGCCUUUUUAAAUAAAAUAAAAGCUAGACUAGUUUCUAGUUCUAGGUCUAGUGUUAGUUCUAGUUUUACACUAUCACUACAACUAAUGCUUAAACUUCAAUGUGACAUAAAUUCAAUAUUACCAACUGUAACCAACUUCACAACAAUUUGUCAAAAUUAACUGUCAAUUUAAUGAAACGUCAUGUUUUAAAAUAUGAACCCAAGUUAAAUAAAGACAGAGCAAAGUAGAGUGAAAAAGGAAGACUAUGAGAAAAUAUAUGCGAUUUGGAGCUCAGAAUUAAUAGCUAGAAUACAGUCAAAUCUAGGUGUAUUGUCACCGAGUAGCAGAGUAUAAGUCUAUAUAAAGACUACUUCAGUGGAUUAGCUCUAUAUCCAAUGUAAGUCAAAAAGAAUCUUCUGUAUCAGAUAGCUUUUAUUUGGUUUUUGACUGGCUUGGGUCUGGGUGAACUGGACUUUUCUUAGGUGGUUUGGGUAUUUUGGUCUGGCUUGGGUUGAGUAGUGAAUCAGUUCGGUUUGGUUUGGGUGUAGAAGAGUUAGAUUUGUUUUAAUUGUGGAUCAGAUUGAUUCUGUAUGGUGUGCGACUUUGGUUAUUUUUGAACUAGGCUGCGCUUAGGCGAUUUGAGUCUGGAUGCGUUAGAUUUGGUCAAGGAUUAAUUGAGGUUGCUUUGUAUACGCAAAGGUUGAACUUGAUUUGGCUGUGAAUCAGGUGAUUGAUACUGAUUUGGGUAUAGGAGCUUUAGUUAACCGAUUUGGGUUGGGCACGAUAUAAGUGUGAUGGUUUGGAUGAGUAGGAUUUAACCUGGUUUGAGUUAGAAUUAAGAUGUACAUUGUACGGCGUUUUUUGUAGGCGACCGUAUUGAAUGUCUUCUGCAGCUGUCAGCUAAAUUCAUAUAUUUAUCCAUCUGAAUUUAGCCAAGGCCUAAUUAAACGUUGCAAUAUGUUUCUGUCUCUUCUUAGCAGGUCUUCUUCAAUAUUGUAUCAAUGAAUCCACUAAUGCAACAACUGCUAAACAAAUGGGAGUACUCGUAGAGACUUCUCUGAAAUGGAAUGCACAGCUACAUGAAGUUGGAAAGAAACUCAAUUCAGUAGUUUUCCAGUUAAGAACAGUGAUGAGAUUGACAGAUCAACAUACAGCAAUGGGAAAUUCCUCAGGAGUUGAACGACUAUUUAUAAUACAAAAAAGAGCAGUUAGAGCGUUGAUGAAUGCAAAUCAAAUGGAGAGGUGUAAACCAUUGUUUAAAGAAUUAAAAAUAAUGACUGUUGCUGUAUACCUAUAAUAGCUCUAUAAAUAACAGCAGAUGAAAACAAAAUGGGUCGAAUUAGAAACAAAACUAUAAGAGACGAUUUAGAAUAAAUACUGCUAGUAACUGAAAUAGGAAACAAACAACUGAGCUGGUCUCGACACCUAGUCGGAAUGGCAGAAGAGAGAAUUUCCAAAAUAGUUGGAAAAUGAAGAAGAGGGAGGCCAAGGAUAAAAUGGGAGAAUGGAGUGGAGGAGAUGGUGCGCAAGAAAUGAAGAAUAUGGCAUGAAACAUACGUAGUGCGGGGCUAAUGGUUUGAUAGUAGCGAGAGGAAGUUUUAGGAAAACCAAUGUCUUCAACAACAAAAUUUUAUUUACAACAAUAAUAACAAUAAUGUAAGUGCGGACGCGAAAAGGGUAACUGCUGACUGAUCUGCCGAUGGGAACUGCUAACUGAUAAGUGAUGGUAACUGGUGGUAACUGAACUCUCCGGGCCGAUCCUGGUUCCUUUUAUCCCCGAGUCCAGUAACAUCCCCGGUGAAAGUUCUCUUCGAGUCCUUAUCUGGACCAAAAGGAUCUGCUGUCCAGAUGUACGGAGAGAGUUCUUCUGAAUUGUUUCGAACGCUUUCUGGCGUCCAGAUGUUCGCCACGGAGAGCGUCCAGUAAUAUCUCCGGUGAAAGUUUUCCGGGAACCCUUUGCCUGGACCAAAAGGGUGUCCUGCCCAGAUGACCGGAGAGAGAUUUUUUUGAACGGUUUAAAAAGUUCUCUGGCGUCCAGAUGUUCGCCACAGUAGUUUUAAAAGAUGGAUAGAGGAACCCAACAACACCUCAACGCUAUGAUGGCAUCUAGGGGAAAUGAAAAAGAAGAGAUAAUCCAUAUCCAGCAACCACCUUUAUCCACAAUCAGCAUCAAAACCCCACCAUAUAUCCAGAACUAUUCCAAAAACUAUUCCAAUGUCAAAAGUAUUCCAAGUAAUAUUACGACAUAAAUUUGAUAAUCAAAUUUGAAAAAUAAUAAAUAUAAAAUAAUAUGUAUAGAAAACGAUAAUUUCAUUAAAGUUUUUCGAUAAACAGCA
rnacentral:lncRNA from 1 species